UACUAAGAUAGAGGUGCAGUAUUCAAUAGUACAUUGCUUGAGGAAGAACAAUUCCAUUGACAGCAAUCGAAAGGGGGUCCUGCCGAAGUGAAGUGCGUAUUGUUCGCGUAGUUUGCUGGUUUUGCAUUUAAGAGAUGUAAAACUGUCAGAGCUUUUUGUUCUGGAGGGCUAUCCUGAAA
rnacentral:ncRNA from 2 species